AGGUGAGAUUGAUUGGUUAGUUUUAGCUCUUUAUUCUUAAGACUUAUUGUCUUAUAUUCAUCCAUCAAUUCAUUAAACGCAUCAUAUAAUUCAUCGAAGGUAAAGUCUAAAUGUGUUUCAGAUAUUACCUCAUUGUCGUAUGCCAUAAAACAUAGGUUGGCCUUUUCUUCUUGUUCCUCAUCCGAUGAUGAUGAUGAUGUAUCGGAGUCCGAUAGGGUGGAGACGAGGACUUUCUUUUUCUUGUACUUGCUGGCCUUCUUGAGCAAAGGACAGUCUGCUCUAAAGUGUCCCGGCUUCUUACAUUCGUAGCAUCCGAU
rnacentral:lncRNA from 1 species